CCUACGGGAUGCAGCAGUGGGGAAUAUUGCACAAUGGGCGCAGGCCUGAUGCAGCCAUGCCGCGUGUGUGAAGAAGGCCUUCGGGUCGUAAAGCACUUUCAGCGGGGAGGAAGGCGGUGAGGUUAAUAACCUCAUCGAUUGACGUUACCCGCAGAAGAAGCACCGGCUAUUCCGUGCCAGCAGCCGCGGUAAUACGGAGGGUGCAAGCGUUAAUCGGAAUUACUGGGCGUAAAGCGCACGCAGGCGGUCUGUCAAGUCGGAUGUGAAAUCCCCGGGCUCAACCUGGGAACUGCAUUCGAAACUGGCAGGCUAGAGUCUUGUAGAGGGGGGUAGAAUUCCAGGUGUAGCGGUGAGAUGCGUAGAGAUCUGGAGGAAUACCGGUGGCGAAGGCGGCCCCCUGGACAAAGACUGACGCUCAGGUGCGAAAGCGUGGGGAGCAAACAGGAUUAGAUACCCCAGUAGUC
rnacentral:rRNA from 1 species